AGUCUUAGUGUUGCAGGGCCAUCUGUUCAUCCGCAGGUGUUUUAGUUUUGCACACUGAAAAUGUAUUUGGGUGCCAGACAGGAAAGUGUUGAUAUGACUGGCAAAUGAGGUGAGAAAAUGCAACUCUGUAAAGUUAAUAGUUCCAGAUUUCUCACUGUUCAGUCAGCAAUCUCAAGGCAUCUGUAGAGGGGGCAAAAGGGUUGCUAAACACUUUUCCAGCUGUCUUGGAUGAGUGCAGCCUAGACUGCAAUGCUACCAGUACAAAGCUGAAUUGUUGGUGUGAGUGGCAGUUUCUCUCUGUGCCUAGGAAAACAGAGAAGGAGAGGAACCCACUAGCUUCUGGCUGGAAGUUCUUGAAAAAUAAAAUUAACUUAUAUGAAACUUCAGCAUAGGCUUUCGUUCAGAAUACAAAGCAUGGGCCACUUGCGAAAGAAAGUAAGGCUACAGUCUUAACCCAACUUACCUGAGCGUAAGCUUCAUUGAACUCAAUUGGACUUAUUUCUGAUUAGACAUGGUUAGACUUCUGCUGUAAAUCUGGGUUUAACAGCAUUGAACAGCUUUCCUCAGCCUGGUGUGCCCUCUAGUGAUUUGAAUUCACUCCCAUCAGCCCCUGUCAGCAUGACCAACAGUCAAGAAUGAAAGAAGUUGUAGUCUGAAGCUUUUGGAGGAUAACGGAUUGGAGAAGGGUGACUAAGAAGGUAAGGAAACAAGCAUUUAAGGCCGAAAUAAAUCAGAAUUUCCUGCUGCCUGUAAUGCCAUUUACAGGUUUUAUUCAAAAAGCAGCAAUUAUAUUGAGAAAAUAAUAAAUACAGUUUAAUAUAGCUUACAUAUCAUAAAUAUGCAAGAAUGCCAUCACCCUGAAGUUUGAUUGGGCACAGAUAGGUGGCUCUGUGAAUUAUAGUAUGAUGAAGGGAAGUGAGCUGCGGAGUUGGAACAGGCUGCAGCAGCCCUGGACCACUGGCUGCAUUUUAAAAUGCAGGCUUCUCUGUGGCUUCCUUCAGCAGCAGCAAGUGCUUGGAAGCCCCACAAGAGAUUUUGAAAGGAGGGUGGAACAAUCAUGUGAUACCAUAAUAAUGUCAUGUGCGUGGCAGGUGGGUUGCUCUCCCUACUUGUCAAAGCUAGCAUGUGGGGUGGGACCCAGAACACUUGCCCACUCUUGGCGUAAGGGGUUAAUGGGGGAGGUAUGGAGAUGUUGGGGGGGCCAUAGGUGGGAUUGGCAAGCAUCUUUAUAUAGGCGGCUGCUUCAUCAGCAGGAGAGCAAAUCUACAGGAUGACCACGCAGUUUUUGUCCUGUUAGAUCUCUGCCUUCAGGUUAGAGAGUGUUUGUGCUGAUUGCAGUGAGUGGUACUGCUUGAAUGCUAGUUGAGUGGAUAUAGCUGGAGUGUAGAUGCAGAAUCUGAUGUGUGCAGAUUCACACAUCAGCUGUGGCAGGGUAUCCCCAAAGCCUUAUGAGGAAUGGUUGAGGGAGUUGGGUAUGUUUAGCCUGGAGAAGUGAAGAUUGAGAGGUGAUAUGAUACCCAUCUUCAAAUAUCUGAAGGGCUGUUGCAUGGAAGAUGGAACAAACUUGUUUUCUGCUGCUCCCGGGGGUAGGACCCAAAGCAGUGGAUUCAAAUUACAGGAAGGGAGAUUCUGUCUAAACAUGAGAAAGAACUUUCUGGUGGUAAGAGCUAUUCAAUUGUGGAAUUGACUACCUCAGAGGUUGGAUGGUCAAGGAUAUGUUAAGGGUUUCUCAGCUAUGAUCCCUGCAUUGCAGGGGGUUGGACUAGAUGACACUAAGGGUUCCUUCGAACUCUACAAUUCUAUGAUUCUAGGAUACUGAAAAUGAGAAUGUGGAAAGCAGGCCUGUGAAAGCCAGGAAGAGGAGAAACUUGGUUUGGUGGGUUCCCUCUGAGUGAGAGACAGCAUAAGGAGAGUUGUUAUGAAGUUACUACCUUCCAUCUGAAAGUGUGGGAUGUGCCCACUACUGGACCUUUGUUUAUCUGUGGCCUUAAUUGCCCAGCUGUAUAGUAUGACAUUGGAUUAUGGUGCCAGGAUGUGUCUGGAUGGGCAGGUAGGAAGGAGUUGUGAAUAUGUUCCCCCACUUUCAGUGGUGAUGGGCGGGGGAAAGUAUAGCUGGAGUUGUGUGGCUAACUGGGAAUGUAACUGGUCUAUCAACUGCCCUGUAGCCCAGUGGCAGAGCCCCAUGGGACUGUUUUAAAUGGUAGUUGGUCCAACACAUCAGGCAGGGCACAAUCUUGAUGUUGUCUUUAGCCCAAGUGAUAUGAGGGAUAGAUCAAACUUUUUUUGGUGGUGGUGGGGGUGCAAUUCAGUCCCUUGUCAACAUUAGUAGUAAUUAGUAGUAAAGUAGGCCUAUUUGGAUGGCCCACUCUCCGAGACUAAAGGAACUUGAGGAGCUCCUGAAUUCUUGAGGAAUUCCUAAACAGUCUGAACAAUCCUGUUGAUGCUUCACUAUGGAGUAGUGAGAUGAAAUGAGUGGUUGACAUAUUCGCUCCUGAGCAUCCUCUAUGGCGUUGUGGAGCUAGGGCAGCUCCUUGGUAUUCUAGAGAGCUUCGGGCUAUGAAGCAAGCAGAAUGAAGACACAAGUCUCACUCUGAAGCUGACUGAACGCUGGUUAGUGCAGUAACUGUGCCAACCAUGUGGCAGUGCAUGCAAGUUGCAAAGAAGGCUCAUUCACAGCUUGCAUUGCAUUCUCUAGUCACUGGCCAGUGGAAUUAUUUCAAACAUUCUGAAGGUUACUGACUUCCACAGAGGGGGAAGGACCUCUGGAGCAUUAGAGGACCUACUGUGACCAACUGGCUAUAUAUUUUGAGGAUAAAGUCACUUGACUUCAGAGUGACCUUAAUUCUGCGGUUAUUGCAGUUCUAGAUGAAAUACCCAAUGCCAUAGUCAAUGAUGUGUUGUGAGAUCAGUUUCAGCUGAUGCAGUUUGCUGAUGUAGAUAAGGUCCUGGCUGUAUGCCUGACCAUGUAUCCUCUUGAUCCCUGUCCCUCCUGGCUUAUUAAAGCUAGCAGAGGGGGUUUGACUGUUUGGGGCCAGAGUGUGGUUGGCACUGAAGUCCGUAAGGGGAUGGUGUCUACUCCCUUGAAAGAGGCUGUGGUGCAACCUCUCCUGAGGAAACCAGGCCUGAACCCCUUGGACUAGAAUAUCAACCAGUUGCAACUACCUUUAUUGGGGAAGGUGGUGAAGAGAAUUCUGGUAGGGCAGCUGCAAGCAUUAUUGGAUGUCAUGGAUUAUUUAGGUCUGUUUCAGUCUGGGUUCAGGCCUGGCCAUGGGAUUGCGUCUUGGUUGCCCUGAUGGAUAAUCUUUUCAAAGAGUGGGACAAGGGGAGUGCAACUUUGCUUUCUCUUCUUGCUCUGUUUGCAACUUUCAGUAUCAUUGACAAUGGUAUCCUACUGGACUGACACUGUCAAAUGGGAAUUGGAGGGCACUGUAUUCCAAUGGUUCCUGUCCUACCUACAGGACAAUGCUUUUAGGGAGAGUGCUUUGUGGUCCUUUGCACUUACAUGAAGCAGGAUGACACUAUUCUUUCCCCAGUGAUAUUUAAUAUUUACAUGAACCUGCUUGGAGUGAUCAUUAGGAGUUUGUGGGCAAUGAGUUAUCAGUAUCCUAAUGACACUUCACUCUAUUUCUCCAUCACACCUGCAUCAGGGCAGGUGGUGCGGGCCCUGGACUGGUGCCUGGAUCCAGUGGUAGGAUGGGUGAAGGAAAAUAUGUUAAGCUUGAAUCCUGGCAUGACAGAAAUACCGUGGAUGAGCGAUUCUUUAGUCCAAGCAAUUAGUCAACUGAUUUCCCUGGAUGCGCUCUCUCUGAAGGAGCAGUUUGGGGGUGCUUCUGGAACCUGUUCUGCCAGUGGAUGCCCAGGUAGCCUCAUUUGCUAGAAGUGCCCUUUACUUCAUGCAACUAGGGUGACACCAACAGCCAGUCCUGAACCAGGAUAGCUUGGCCACAGUAGUUCAAGCAUUGGUGACUUCAAGAUGGGAUUACUGCAGUGCACUGCAAUUCAGUCUUUGUGGGGCUUCCCAUGCACUUGAACCAGAAGCCGCAAUUAGUUACUGCACCGUUACUGACAGGAAUGAAACCCUGUCUGCAUAUACUGCAUGUACACCCUUGCUUGGAGUUCUGCACCAGUUGCCCAUUUGCUACCAGGCCAAGUUCAAGGAAUUACUAUUAGAAUAUAAACCCUUAACAGCUUGGGGCCAUUUUACUUGCAAGAUCACUUUACUCCAUAUAUGCUCCCUCAACUGCUUUGAUCUGCAGAACUGACAGCGUUAAUGGUGCCACAUAAUACUUGUUCAAUACUUACAAGAAAUUGUUCUUCCUGUGUAGCAGCACCUAUACUUUGGAACUCCCUGCCUGCUUAACAUCAGGCAGGUACCUUCGCUGUAAUUUUCACCACCUGCUUAAAACAUUUUUGUUUCGGCAAUCCUAUUCAGACAUGUAGAAGCUACAUAAGCAUCUUCUCUUUUUUUGCUAGUGUUGAUUAUGAUAGUCUUCUACAUGUUUUUAAAUACCUAUUUUAACUGUUCUUAUACUGAGGUUUAAUGCUUUAUUUUAUACUUAUGUAAACCACUUAGAGGCCAGUAAAGCGAGAUGAGCGCCGCAACCCCAGCGUCGUCCGCAACUCAAUAGUCAGGGGUCCCUUUACCUUUAAACCACUUAGAGGUUUUCUUACAGGCAAGCAGUAUUUAAAAUUUGUUAAAUAAAUAGAAUAAAUCUCUAUCCCCAUGCCCAGAAUACAUUCUGGAUUGUCCUGUCAUCUCAGU
rnacentral:lncRNA from 1 species